CACGUAGGGCGCAAGCGUUGUCCGGAAUUAUUGGGCGUAAAGAGCUCGUAGGCGGUCUGUCGCGUCUGCUGUGAAAACCCAGGGCUCAACCCUGGGCCUGCAGUCGAUACGGGCAGGCUAGAGUCCGGCAGGGGAGACUGGAAUUCCUGGUGUAGCGGUGAAAUGCGCAGAUAUCAGGAGGAACACCGGUGGCGAAGGCGGGUCUCUGGGCCGGAACUGACGCUGAGGAGCGAAAGCGUGGGGAGCGAACAGG
rnacentral:rRNA from 1 species